rnacentral:rRNA from 1 species
CCAUCAGCUAGUUGGUGAGGUAACGGCUCACCAAGGCAGCGACGGAUAGGUGGUCUGAGAGGAUGGUCACCCACACUGGGACUGAGACACUGCCCAGACUGCGUACGGGAGGCUGCAGUCGAGAAUCUUCCGCAAUGCGCGAAAGCGUGACGGAGCGAUGCCGCGUGCCGGAUGAAGGCCUUCGGGUCGUAAACGGCUGUCACCCGGAACGAAUAUUGACGGUACCGGGAGAGGAAGCCACGGCUAACUACGUGCCAGCAGCCGCGGUAAUACGUAGGUGGCUAGCGUUAUUCGGAUUUAUUGGGCGUAAAGGGUUCGUAGGGGGCCGAGUAAGUCUGAUGUGAAAUCCAACGGCUCAACCGUUGAACUGCAUUGGAUACUACCCGGCUAGAGUACUGGAGAGGUAAGCAGAAUUCCUGGUGUAGCGGUGGAAUGCGUAGAUAUCAGGAGGAAUACCGACGGCGAAGGCAGCUUACUGGACAGUUACUGACCCUCAUGAACGAAAGCUAGGGGAGCAAACAGGAUUAGAUACCCUGGUAGUCCUAGCUGUAAACGUUGUUCACUAGAUGUAGGCGGAUUGGUCCCGUCUGUGUCCAAGCUAACGUGAUAAGUGAACCGCCUGGGGAGUACGGCCGCAAGGCUAAAACUCAAAGGAAUUGACGGGGGCCCGCACAAGCGGUGGAGCAUGUGGCUUAAUUCGAGGCAACGCGAAGAACCUUACCUGGGUUUGACAUAUAUCUGACCGCCAUGGAAACAUGGUUUCUCUUCGGAGCGGAUAUACAGAUGCUGCAUGGCUGUCGUCAGCUCGUGCCGUGAGGUGUUCGGUUAAGUCCGGCAACGAGCGCAACCCGUGCUGCUAGUUACCAGCGGGUAAUGUCGGGGACUCUAGCAGGACUGCCCGUGCUAAGCGGGAGGAAGGCGCGGACGACGUCAAGUCAGUAUGGCUCUUACACCCAGGGCUGCACACGUGCUACAAUGACCGGUACAAUGGGAUGCCACUCUGCGAAGAGGCGCCAAUCUCUAAAACCGGCCCCAGUUCAGAUUGGAGUCUGCAACUCGACUCCAUGAAGUCGGAAUCGCUAGUAAAGGCGUAUCAGCAACGACGCCUUGAAUACGUUCCCGG